UGGGGAAUUUUGGACAAUGGGCGAAAGCCUGAUCCAGCAAUGCCGCGUGUGUGAAGAAGGCCUUCGGGUUGUAAAGCACUUUUGUCCGGAAAGAAAUCCUUGGCUCUAAUACAGUCGGGGGAUGACGGUACCGGAAGAAUAAGCACCGGCUAACUACGUGCCAGCAGCCGCGGUAAUACGUAGGGUGCAAGCGUUAAUCGGAAUUACUGGGCGUAAAGCGUGCGCAGGCGGUUUGCUAAGACCGAUGUGAAAUCCCCGGGCUCAACCUGGGAACUGCAUUGGUGACUGGCAGGCUAGAGUAUGGCAGAGGGGGGUAGAAUUCCACGUGUAGCAGUGAAAUGCGUAGAGAUGUGGAGGAAUACCGAUGGCGAAGGCAGCCCCCUGGGGCCAAUACUGACGCUCAUGCACGAAAGCGUGGGGAGCAAACAGGAUUAGAUACCCCUGGGUAGUCCACGCCCUAAAACGAUGUCAACUAGUUGUUGGGGGAUUCAUUUCCUUAGUAACGUAGCUAACGCGUGAAGUUGACCGCC
rnacentral:rRNA from 1 species